rnacentral:rRNA from 1 species
GUGGGGAAUCUUGCGCAAUGGGCGAAAGCCUGACGCAGCCAUGCCGCGUGAAUGAUGAAGGUCUUAGGAUUGUAAAAUUCUUUCACCGGGGACGAUAAUGACGGUACCCGGAGAAGAAGCUCCGGCUAACUUCGUGCCAGCAGCCGCGGUAAUACGAAGGGGGCUAGCGUUGCUCGGACUUACUGGGCGUAAAGGGCGCGUAGGCGGACAGCUUAGUCAGAGGUGAAAGCCCAGGGCUCAACCUUGGAAUUGCCUUUGAUACUGGCUGGCUUGAGUUUGGGAGAGGUGAGUGGAACUCCGAGUGUAGAGGUGAAAUUCGUAGAUAUUCGGAAGAACACCAGUGGCGAAGGCGACUCACUGGCCAAAUACUGACGCUGAGGCGCGAAAGCGUGGGGAGCAAACAGGAUUAGAAACCCGGGUAGUCC